rfam:Lactobacillus silagei DNA, scaffold: sequence03, strain: IWT126.
UGAAAGGCGUUGACGAGAAACAUCAACUCCGUUUCGGAUAUAGAGAGUUGCCGGCUGGUGCAAGGCAAUGACGAGCGGACGCGAUGAUCAUCUCCGAGCUGUGUGUCGAAUCGGCUAGACCGUAUUAGAACACAUUGGGUGCACCCAUUAUCGUGCCAAGCGUAUCGCAUUUAUGCUGUACGUGAGAGGUAAUUUCAGUAAUGAGAUUAUAAACUAAGGUGGUACCACGUGAAAGCGUCCUUAAU